GACGAACGCUGGCGGCGUGCUUAACACAUGCAAGUCGAACGGUAAGGCCCUUCGGGGUACACGAGUGGCGAACGGGUGAGUAACACGUGGGUGAUCUGCCCUGCACUUCGGGAUAAGCCUGGGAAACUGGGUCUAAUACCGGAUAGGACUCCUGGCUUCAUGGGUGGGGGUGGAAAGCUUUUGCGGUGUGGGAUGGGCCCGCGGCCUAUCAGCUUGUUGGUGGGGUAAUGGCCUACCAAGGCGACGACGGGUAGCCGGCCUGAGAGGGUGACCGGUCACACUGGGACUGAGAUACGGCCCAGACUGCUACGGGAGGCAGCAGUGGGGAAUAUUGCACAAUGGGCGCAAGCCUGAUGCAGCGACGCCGCGUGAGGGAUGACGGCCUUCGGGUUGUAAACCUCUUUCAGCUAUGACGAAGCGCAAGUGACGGUAGUAGCAGAAGAAGGACCGGCCAACUACGUGCCAGCCGCCGCAGUAA
rnacentral:rRNA from 1 species